rnacentral:rRNA from 1 species
GAAAAGCACUUUGAAAAGAGAGUGCAAGAGAACGUGAAAUCGAUACAAUGGAAGCGAAUGAAGCUGACGUAUCUGGCGUGUAUUCAGUUGUGCGGCCAUGGCGCACAGUCGGGUGGGCAUUCCGCAAGGUUGCCGCUUGUCUGUUGUGUUGGGUCGAGCAGUGCACUUGCGCGCGGAGUGCGGUGAGGCGAUUGGUGUUGUUGGUGGAGAACGAAUUAGAAGGUGUUUCGUCUAACGAUGGAGCAUAACUUUGUUCGCUUCGAAACCAAUUAAUGCUAGUCGUUGUUUUGUGCGAGACACUGGUCAUUCGAGUCGGCCGAGUGUGCUGGUUAUGCUAUGGAAUUGAACGCAUGCGUUGGGUUUCUAGUGUUGCCGGUAUGUUCGGUUCGAUUCACUGUGUCUUUCUCGCCGUAUAGUCGGUCACUCAUUUGACCCGUCUUGAAACACGGACCAAGGAGUUUAUUGUAUAUGCGAGUUGUUGAGCUGAAACGAAACUCAAAAGCGUAAUGAAAGUGAGUGUUUGUUGAGAACACUGAGUAUGAUCGAGUGGUUGAGCUUUGUUGUUCGACUAUUCGAGCAAUAUUACCCCAUGCGAAGGACUUGUUCUUGUGUGGAGGUUGAGCAUAUGCAAUGAGACCCGAAAGAUGGUGAACUAUGCCUGAACAGGAUGAAGCCAGAGGAAACUCUGGUGGAAGUCCGAAGCGGUUCUGACGUGCAAAUCGAUCGUC